UUAGUAUAGUGCUUGAGCCGUAUGCCGUGAAAGUGGCACGUACGGUUCUUAGGAGGGGAAAGAAUGAGAAUUCCUACCUAUUCCAAUUAGAUACUCUGGUAGUCUACGCUGUAAACGAUGAGUGUUAGUACUCCUUCUUUUUCUGGGGAUACUUAGCAAACGUAAUAAACACUCCGCCUGGAAAGUACAGUCACACGACAGAACACCAAAUGAUUAGACGGUCUCGAAAACCCGUAGUGAAGCAUGACGCUUAAUGCGAUAACCCGCGCAUAACCUUACCUACAUUUGAAUCUCAUGAUCUUCCAGGAUUUCUUGGAAAAUUAAGAAGACAGGUGCUGCAUGACCCUCUUCAGCAUGUGCCUUAUGGUGCUUGGUUUGAUCCGCUAACAUGCGCAAUUCUUACCUUCUCUAAGUAAACAAAGAAGGACUACAGUUGAUAUAACUGUAAAUUAGAGCUAAGAGAGGUCCCUAUGACCCUCAUGUGUAGGGCUGCCGUUGUGCUGCGAAGAGUUUAACAAUAUGAUGCAACAUUGUGAAAUAGAGCUAAUCAUCAAAUAAACUCACACGGAUUGUAGUCUGCAAUCGACUACAUGAAAUAGGAAUUACGAGUAAUCGUGUAGUAGUGCGACACGGUGAAAAUAAAAUUCGAGAUGUACUAAUUACUCGUCAAAUCUGGAAAUAGAUUAAAUUGUGAAACUGGAUGAUGUACAUGACGAUAUUCAUUCUCUCUUUUGUCGCUGGGCGACAAAAGCUAGUUGAGAGCAGGAAGAUACUCGUUAUCUUCUAGUAUUUAUUAUCACAGUGUAAUACUUUUGUUAGCAGUUUACCUUAAUCGAGAUUAAGUCGAAAUAUAGGAGUGGCAGGGGAACCUGCUGCUGAACAAUACAAAUU
rnacentral:ncRNA from 1 species